AACAAUCUAGCUAAUGUGUUAUAAUUAGUUAAUAAUGUAUAUAUUUAUGCAUGGUACUUUAAGAGUUUAAUUAGGACGUCACUAGUUCAGUACACAUAUAACUCAAAGAUAGUUUUUUUUUAUUUUUCCUUUCAAAAUCAAUUUUAUCAGAGAUUGAUACGUGGAAACAAAUUUAAUGGUCUGAUUUCUUCAUAUAUCUUUUAUAUUUGUGAGAAGCUUAUCAUAUUACUAAGGCCAAGGUGCAUAUACA
rnacentral:lncRNA from 1 species